AGUGAACGCUGGCGGUAGGCCUAACACAUGCAAGUCGAACGGCAGCACAGUAAGAGCUUGCUCUUACGGGUGGCGAGUGGCGGACGGGUGAGGAAUACAUCGGAAUCUACUUUUUCGUGGGGGAUAACGUAGGGAAACUUACGCUAAUACCGCAUACGACCUACGGGUGAAAGCAGGGGAUCUUCGGACCUUGCGCGAUUGAAUGAGCCGAUGUCGGAUUAGCUAGUUGGCGGGGUAAAGGCCCACCAAGGCGACGAUCCGUAGCUGGUCUGAGAGGAUGAUCAGCCACACUGGAACUGAGACACGGUCCAGACUCCUACGGGGGGCGGCAGUGGGGAAUAUUGGACAAUGGGCGCAAGCCUGAUCCAGCCAUACCGCGUGGGUGAAGAAGGCCUUCGGGUUGUAAAGCCCUUUUGUUGGGAAAGAAAAGCAGCAGGUUAAUACCCCGCUGUUCUGACGGUACCCAAAGAAUAAGCACCGGCUAACUUCGUG
rnacentral:rRNA from 1 species